rnacentral:misc_RNA from 1 species
CUAGAGCAAAGGAUAGACGGCCCUGCUUCGGUAGGGUUGUCGUCGAGCCUCUCGAAGAAGCUCGGUCCUGAACUCCACCCUUGAAUAAAUUACCUUUGUUGCUUUGGCGGGCCGCCUCGCGCCAGCGGCUUCGGCUGUUGAGUGCCCGCCAGAGGACCACAACUCCUGUUUUAGUGAUGUCUGAGUACUAUAAUAGUUA